GAGAGAACGGCCAUCUCCCCCACCGAACGGGCAUCCGAAGGCCCCUAAUUCCAUUCCAACACCCCUGAACUUCAAAAUCAGACCCACCAGCGAACCUCUCCACCCUUCAAAAUUCGAUCGCCGCUGCACACUACCGUAAAGAACAGAGCCGCUGCUCCCUUCCCUUCUUCUCAAAAAAGAACAAAAAAAACACACACACACACACAGUCAUAAACAGAGGAGCACAGACAGAAGAAGACGGAGGAACAGGAAAAUCAAGAAUGAGUUCAAAAAAAACGCAGCCAUGAAUCUCCAUCUUAUUCUACCAUUUUUCUUCCAUAUAUAAACUCAUAGCAUUAUUUGUCUCUAGAAAAACAGUUUCAAAAUCAGAUUUGGUUUCACUCUUUGAACCUCUGUUUUGAGGUUUCUUGCUCCGUGGUUUUGUUCGAGUGUUCCGGUCAGCAAGUUUGGUCGACAGUCCCUGUCCUUGGUUCAAGUCCCGGCCUAAUUCUGUCAUUAGAUCACCAUUUCAGUCUGCACUUAAUUAUGAAAAUCCAGGUGCCGGGACGAGUCAUCAGUAGUGGAGUUGCUUGUUGAGCUAGGUAUCGAGAGAUGAGGUAGAGCUGCAUUCUCGUCCGCAGUCUUGGCAUCUAUUUUCUUAUGUUCUGUUGUCUUUAUUUCAGACAACAUUAUAUUUGUCUUGUACUUCUGUAGUAGAGCUCGUGAAUUGUAUUUACCAGUUCUGAAAAAUUUACCAUGUAUUGGCUUUACUAUUGCUAUAUUAAGGUUUCAGGCUUAUGUUAUUUUUGUAAAUUCCGCUAUUUUGAUUCUUUAUUGUUAUGUACAGCUUGCCUAGCAAAUAUAUUAGGCGUCAUCACGA